rnacentral:rRNA from 1 species
UACGAAGGGGGCUAGCGUUGCUCGGAAUCACUGGGCGUAAAGGGUGCGUAGGCGGGUCUUUAAGUCAGGGGGGAAAUCCUGGAGCUCAACUCCAGAACUGCCUUUGAUACUGAGGAUCUUGAGUUCGGGAGAGGUGAGUGGAACUGCGAGUGUAGGGGUGAAAUUCGUAGAUAUUCGCAAGAACACCAGUGGCGAAGGCGGCUCACUGGCCCGAUACUGACGCUGAGGCACGAAAGCGUGGGGAGCAAACAGG